rnacentral:ncRNA from 2 species
ACAACUUAAUAAGUUUCAGGUGCCCGUUAAGGGUGAAUAGGGAAACCGGUGUAAAUCCGGUGCGAUCCCGUCACUGUAAGCAGGAGCCGACCUCAAUAGUCCACUGGUGGAAACCGGGAAGGAGAGGAAGGCGAUGAUUGCAAGCCAGGAGACCUGCCUGAAAUUUUAGAUUAUA